UACGUAGGGUGCAAGCGUUGUCCGGAAUUAUUGGGCGUAAAGAGCUCGUAGGCGGUCUGUUGCGUCGGCUGUGAAAACCCGGGGCUCAACUCCGGGCCUGCAGCCGAUACGGGCAGACUAGAGUUCGGCAGGGGAGACUGGAAUUCCUGGUGUAGCGGUGAAAUGCGCAGAUAUCAGGAGGAACACCGGUGGCGAAGGCGGCUUUCUGGACAGAAACUGACGCUGAUGCGCGAAAGCUAGGGGAGCAAACAGG
rnacentral:rRNA from 1 species